rnacentral:rRNA from 1 species
UGGCUCAGAUUGAACGCUGGCGGCAUGCCUUACACAUGCAAGUCGAACGGCAGCACGGGUGCUUGCACCUGGUGGCGAGUGGCGAACGGGUGAGUAAUACAUCGGAACAUGUCCUGUAGUGGGGGAUAGCCCGGCGAAAGCCGGAUUAAUACCGCAUACGAUCUACGGAUGAAAGCGGGGGACCUUCGGGCCUCGCGCUAUAGGGUUGGCCGAUGGCUGAUUAGCUAGUUGGUGGGGUAAAGGCCUACCAAGGCGACGAUCAGUAGCUGGUCUGAGAGGACGACCAGCCACACUGGGACUGAGACACGGCCCAGACUCCUACGGGAGGCAGCAGUGGGGAAUUUUGGACAAUGGGCGAAAGCCUGAUCCAGCAAUGCCGCGUGUGUGAAGAAGGCCUUCGGGUUGUAAAGCACUUUUGUCCGGAAAGAAAUCCUUGGCUCUAAUACAGCCGGGGGAUGACGGUACCGAAGA